GAUAAUAGCCCCCUAUCAAGAGGGGUCACGAUUAUUUUAUUACGUGUGGGUGAGGGGGCACCACGAAUGUACAAACAGUAAAAUCCUAAUAUAUAAUAGACAAUAAAAAAAAAAAAAAAAAAGCAAGGAAAGAUGAGGUAAAUAUAUCUUUAGUUCAGUACUCUACACUGUUUUUGUUUGUUUUGCAAGCAUAUACAUAACUUUUUCUUAUUUUUCA
rnacentral:lncRNA from 1 species